CCUCCGUCUCGGCUAUGGCGGCUUUGAAUCGCUCGAAUGCGUCCAGCACCCGUUUGUCGCUCGUCCAGUGCUCCGGCCGCGUGCCCAGGUACUCUUCGUCGGAUGAAUGAGUGGAGAGGAUCUCGAUGGUUGUCAUCACCUGCGUCGCUUCGACUUUGGUGGAGAAGGACGAGAGGUAGAAUUUCUCCCCUCUUCGCAGCUGUUUAUAUUCUUCGGUGUCUUCGUCAGGAAUGAGCUUGUGAGCGAUGGUCGGCCUGUUCACUGGGAAUCCAGCGUAUGCAUACUGGCCAAAGUUAACAGCAGCGUGGUGGCACGAUGGGAUCCAAAUCAUGGUGGUGAGUGCCUCGAUCAAGUUUGCUUUUGUGUUCAGGUCUGUCCAUCCAACUUUCUUGUCUGCAUGACCAACAUUCACGAUUUCUUGCCACCAUGCCUGGAGCUCAGUGUCAUCCCUGACUGAAGCAUCGUCCUUGUAGAAAAUGUCUGUGUAGUCCGUCACCCAUUGCUUCAAUGCACUCCAGAGGUUCAGUCCAUCCACUGCGUAAGGAUAGUCUUCAAUGAGGAGGUCUAGGCCGUGUCUGGCUUUCGGAUUUGGAGUAGCCAUUCCCCUGGAAAAAAAUCAAUGCUUGUUUUUCGUUUGGAUAGUUUCAAGCCAGAAAUCCCCUUACCUGGCGAUCAAGUCAGCUGGAAGUCCCUGCUGGUCGAAUCUCCACUGCGAUCCAUAGACGACAGC
rnacentral:lncRNA from 1 species